ensembl:lncRNA
UGGCAUGUCUAUAGUGUCCCCCCACCACCUAACCGCUGCUACAUUGAGGGACCCCCAUCACAGAGAGCCUGUAAUCGAGUAACGGACACGGAGAGAUUAUUUCAGACCGGUCAAACAAGGGUAAUUUAAGCAAACCUGGAUGCGAUGAAAAACGUUUAACAGCUUGCUUUUUACGCGACUACAGUGCAAGACGAAACUCCGAAGAUACAGGAGUGAGCACUCCGGGAGAAUGGCUAACUACGUGUCGUCUGCAUUUCGGAACACCAGCCUAAAACCUUCGCCUAUUGGACUGGCAGCCACGGGAAGGAGGUCUGAACAUUGGCCGGCGUCACACCUCAAAGCUGAUCUCCCUUGACCGUCCGAACAGGGGCUCCGAUGCCAGCAGUUUGCUGUGUUUUUUCCACCUCCUGGGUCUGCCACUCCUCCUGUCUGUCUCACUUCACACCUGGACCUAUUCUGCAAUCAUGCUCACCUGGUCUUCAUCUCCAAUCAACUCCCCUUCAUAAACCCUUGGAUUCCCUGCUGUCGGUGCCAGAUCGUACUACGCACUACUGUGUUAUCCGGAUCCCUCACUCCAGUUCGCCUGCUUCGCUCCUUCCCCGGCAACCUCAUCCAAUACCCGCCUCCUCGCCUCGUUCAAUAAACCCUUUUUCCUUCAACUCAACUUCGUCUCCGUCUGCUCUUGGGUUCAGCAUCGUUUAACCAUAACACUACGUUUACAUUUUUUACUUUUUUUGUAUGUUUCAAGUGUAGGCCUAUAUGUUUGACAACAAACCUUCUCCAAUAUUUCCCUCAAGAAUACAAACUCUUUCGUUCAAUGUUGUGGGAAAUUUGAAACGUGGAGAAAAAUAAUCUGCCAACUAGGCCGACUUGAAAACUUUAAAAUGUUUGAAACUUUUUCACAACAGCCCUACCACGAACACACAAAUUGGCCUAAUAUUUAUGUUGUUCAUUGUGUGUAUAGGACAUUAUGUUCAACUUUGAUUCUACCCCUGUAUAGCAAUGCAUAGCUCCAUAUCGAUAUUUUGUUAUUGUCAUCUGUGAGAUAUUCUCUAAAAGUCAAG